AUCUUCAUCAUGCGGUUUCAUCUUCAUUUCAUACACCUUCAACCUUCUACAUCAUUCUUCAAGAUUCCUUCAAUCAUCAUUGUACCUCUUCAAUCUUUUAUCCUCUUCAUCACACAAUCAUCGCAUCAGAUUCAUCAUCAAUUUUACAACCACAGCACGUGCAACCAUCACACGUAACAACAAUAGUUCGCAAUAACAUAAGAAUAAGAAAAGGAUUUCUAGAGUCGAAAGAGAAGAACAUAUCACAAAACCAAAAGAGCACAUAUCUGAUUCGAAGGUGA